rnacentral:rRNA from 1 species
CUACGGGCGGCAGCAGGCGCGAAACCUUUACAAUGCACGAAAGUGUGAUAAGGGGAUCCCAAGUGCUCAACACUGUUGAGCUUUUGCCAAGUUUAGAACGCUUGGCGAAUAAGGGGUGGGUAAGACUGGUGCCAGCCGCCGCGGUAACACCAGCGCCCCAAGUGGCAAUCGCGAUUAUUGGGCCUAAAGCGUUCGUAGCAGGUUCUGUAAAUCUUUUGUGAAAUCGGCAGGCUUAACCUGUCGGCGUGCAGAAGACACUGCAGGACUCGAGACCGGGAGAAGUCAGAAGUAUUCCUGGGGUGCCGGUAAAAUGGGUUAAUCCCAGGAGGACUACCAAUGGCGAAGGCAUCUGACCAGAACGGAUCUGACUGUGAGGAACGAAAGCUAGGGGAGCAAAACGGAUUAGAUACCCCAGUAGUC